UCCAGCCUACGGGGCGCAGCAGUGGGGGAUAUUGGACAAUGGGGGAAACCCUGAUCCAGCGACGCCGCGUGAGUGAAGAAGUAUUUCGGUAUGUAAAGCUCUAUCAGCAGGGAAGAAAGAAAUGACGGUACCUGAGUAAGAAGCCCCGGCUAACUACGUGCCAGCAGCCGCGGUAAUACGUAGGGGGCAAGCGUUAUCCGGAAUUACUGGGUGUAAAGGGAGCGUAGACGGAAAUGCAAGUCUGGCGUGGA
rnacentral:rRNA from 1 species